rnacentral:rRNA from 1 species
GGGGGGGGGGGGCGGGGGGGCUGGCAGGUGCGAGUCGAAGGGCGGCACAGUGGUAGCUUGCUCGUACGGGUGGCGAGUGGCGGGCGGGUGAGGAAGGCACCGGGAUCUACUUUUUCGUGGGGGAUAACGGAGUGGAACUUACGCUAAUACCGCAUACGACAUACGGGUGACAGCAGGGGCUCUUCGGCCCUUGCGCGAGUGAAUGAGCCGAUGUCGGAUUAGCUAGUUGGCGGGGUAAAGGCCCACCAAGGCGACGAUCCGUAGCUGGUCUGAGAGGAUGAUCAGCCACACUGGAACUGAGACACGGUCCAGACUCCUACGGGAGGCAGCAGUGGGGAAUAUUGGACAAUGGGCGCAAGCCUGAUCCAGCCAUACCGCGUGGGUGAAGAAGGCCUUCGGGUUGUAAAGCCCUUUUGUUGGGAAAGAAAAGCAGCAGGUUAAUACCCCGCUGUUCUGACGGUACCCAAAGAAUAAGCACCGGCUAACUUCGUG